AGAGUCAAGUGGUUACGUUUGCGAUAUUAAAAUUGUAAAUAGUUGUAUAUAUUUACAUAAAAAACAGAGAAAACCUAACAUGCAUGCUUGAAAUAAUCUGUUUUUCAUUUGUUUAGAAUGAAAUGUUUAUUUGGUAAAACGUUAUAAUAAGGUCUUUUAGUUAAAUAUUUGAUUUAACAUGAAAAAUAGGCUAUAAAAACAUUGCAACAUAUCUGUGGUAUCAGUAUGAAGCAAGCUUAUAUUCCUUUCCAGAAACUGCUGUGCCAUUGUUUGCUGACCUUCACAUUUCAAAAACAACCACUCAAGUCCUGCUCACAAACUCUGAUAAAACUCCUUUAGUUUUAUCAACUAAGCGGCUGACUGUGCUUGAGUCCAGAGAAAAUGGACUUGAAAGCUCCAGCGAAACUGGCACAUCCCACAAUAUUUAUAGACCGCACAGGUUACAGCACGCUAGAUCACUGAGGAAGCUGAGGUGUGUGCGUCGCGAUUCAGACGCAGAUGAUCACUGAAUGACCGCAGCGCCCUCUGUUGGCAGCGCAUGCGCAUCACACACUACCUCAUGACGGGGUAAAUCAAUCAAACUAACCUCGUUUAAGUGAGUACAGUUCUUGCUGAGCUGAUUGAGCUGUAUGGGGGGUCUUAAAAUGAAAGCAGUGGACUGAUGGAGUUCAUGGUGGGCCUCAAUUUGAACAUCUGAAAUAUAAAAUGUCAAAUAUGUCAGCAUGAAGCCAAACCAUUUUAUUAAAGUUUUAUACAAGCAAUGUAAAAAUUAGUUGCCCACUGCUGUGGAAGCCCAUUUCCAAAACUGGAUAAAAUAAAUAAAUAAAAUAGGUAAUUAAGACUUUUAUAUCUCAUAAUUCUCACUUUUCCUCAUAAUUCUGAGCUUAUAUCUCACAAUACUGGCUUUUAUGUUGUUAUUUAGAGUUUAUAUUAUCUCUGUGGUUGACGGCUGAUUUUACUUUUGAAAUCUUGUGUUGAACCAGCAAAGCAGCAAGUUCAUUACACAAGCUGUUCUGAAAAUUAUAAAAAAAUCAUAAGUCCUUUAAAAUCAUAGUGAAAUGUAUUACACCACAACCUGCACAGGCCCAGCAACAUGCAGAAUUAUUAAUGACAUAGGCUGAAUUAUUCAAUAUAAUACAACUCCUUUUCUAUCUGAGUUUCAUUGAUUUCACGCAUUAGCUUUACUUUACUUUUAUUUUACUCCAGGAUCAUGUGAUUUCUUUGUUCCCUGAUUGCAUUCAGGUGCCUAGAAUAUUCAUCACCAUGUGAUUGUAUAGCUUUGUUUGUCGUGGAGUUUUUGGGUUUCCCCUUGCAUUCUUCUGUAUAUGUAUGUCUUUUUUUCUUUCUUUUUUUUUUAAUCUUACUUUGCUUAAUUUUUGUGGUAGUUACUUUGAAUGAAAUAAUAAUAAUAAAGUGCAUUUAAAACUUUAAAUAUGAAAGCAUGUUUCCGCCACCAGAUUUAUAUAUAUAUAUAUAUAUAUAUAUAUAAAUAAAAUAAAAAACGAAUAAAAAAAGUUAAUUGCAACUUCUUAUCUCAAAUUUCGGAGAUAUAAACCCAUGCUCAUUGGAAACGGCCUACGUGCAUAUCAUAUGCAUGGGUUUUCUAAUGUUAAUGUGAAUGAA
ensembl:lncRNA